rnacentral:rRNA from 1 species
CAGUCGCCGCGGGAAUACGGAGGGUGCAAGCGUUAAUCGGAAUUACUGGGCGUAAAGCGCACGCAGGCGGUUUGUUAAGUCAGAUGUGAAAUCCCCGAGCUUAACUUGGGAACUGCAUUUGAAACUGGCAAGCUAGAGUCUUGUAGAGGGGGGUAGAAUUCCAGGUGUAGCGGUGAAAUGCGUAGAGAUCUGGAGGAAUACCGGUGGCGAAGGCGGCCCCCUGGACAAAGACUGACGCUCAGGUGCGAAAGCGUGGGGAGCAAACAGGAUUAGAUACCCGCGUAGUCCCUGUCUCUUAUAC